ensembl:lncRNA
AUUUCAGCUGCUAUGUUGAGAAUAGGUCUCCAGUGUCACUUAGCUAGAGAUAAGAGAAGCCAGCGCGGGAGACCGAGGAGUUUGUGGGAGAAGACGUUAAGUACAGAGGAUUAUACCCAGAGGAGCAAUACUACAGCUGAAAAUGCUCUGAAGCUCUCAGCAAGUGCUACAGCAGACUGAGACCAAGAACUGAGCAGUGCCUGAGGUUUGAGGAAUCCCAGCUUGGAUUGUUGAUUUGAAUCGCGUGCAACUCAAAUAUUUGAUGGUGGCCUUUCAAGCAACAGUGGAUUCCCAAACCCAGCGUCUAACACCAUCUGAGAGGUGGCUUCUGUGUCUUAUGGUGUGGAAUCGUCCUGUCCUCCCACAACUGUUUUCUCUUGGCAUGGUGUCCCACUGAAUUCUCAUAAAUAAAACUUCGCUAAACAGCAGCAGUUGGGCCUCAAGUGGAAGCAGGCAGCUCCAUCAGAGAUCACAGGGGUGCCACAGUGAGUGACACAGAAUUUUGGGGUCAACAUGGACUUUGCAUAUUUGUCUUUCAGCAUGGAGGCCACCACCACUCCCCCACCCAGCAUGGACAUGCUUCUACCCUGGUAUCUGGGAACAAAUGAUUCUGCCCAUGCCAGACUGGGAGGAGCCUGGCCAAGGGGUGCGGUAGAAAUAACACCUUCUGGUGAUGUGUAUUCUUUCCUAAUCUGGACCUACGGUCUGCUGCAGUUCUGAAACAUGCCUGACUGUGGAAUGUGUUUCUGGUGCUGAAUGCAGAAAUUUUCUCUUACUCUGUGCCCCUCCUACCCAUAUCUUCAUUUGUGACCUUCUGACACUAGGUCAAAUGAGAACAAAGUUGUAGAAAACACUGCUCCUUCCUUUUGGACAAGAUCUG